GGGUGGGUGUCCGAGUGGCUAAAGGAGACGGUCUGUAAAAUCGUUGGCGUAUGCCUACAGAGGUUCGAAUCCUCUCCCACCCACCA
rnacentral:tRNA from 1 species